rnacentral:rRNA from 1 species
UACGUAGGGACCGAGCGUUGUCCGGAAUCAUUGAGCGUAAGGAGCGUGUAGGCGGCUACUUAAGUCCUGCGUGAAAUCCUGCGGCUCAACCGCAGGCGGUCGUGGGAAACUGGGUGGCUAGAGUGCGGGAGAGGAGAGUGGAAUUCCUGGUGUAGCGGUGGAAUGCGCAGAUAUCAGGAAGAACACCCGUGGCGAAGGCGGCUCUCUGGAACGCAACUGACGCUGAGACGCGAAAGCGUGGGGAGCAAACAGG